rnacentral:rRNA from 1 species
CACGUAGGGCGCAAGCGUUGUCCGGAAUUAUUGGGCGUAAAGAGCUCAUAGGUGGUUUGUUACGUCUGCUGUGAAAACCUAGGGCUUAACCCUGGGCUUGCAGUGGAUACGGGCAGACUAGAGGUAGGUAGGGGAGAAUGGAAUUCCUGGUGUAGCGGUGAAAUGCGCAGAUAUCAGGAGGAACACCGGUGGCGAAGGCGGUUCUCUGGGCCUUACCUGACACUGAGGAGCGAAAGCGUGGGGAGCGAACAGG